rnacentral:rRNA from 1 species
GACGAAUGCUGGCGGCGUGCUUAACACAUGCAAGUCGAACGGUAAGGCCCCUUCGGGGGUACACGAGUGGCGAACGGGUGAGUAACACGUGAGCAACCUACCCUUGACUCUGGAAUAACAGCUGGAAACAGCUGCUAAUACCGGAUACGACCUGGAGCGUCAUCGCUCCAGGUGGAAAGCUCCGGCGGUCAAGGAUGGGCUCGCGGCCUAUCAGCUAGUGGGUGAGGUAAUGGCUCACCAAGGCUUCGACGGGUAGCCGGCCUGAGAGGGCGACCGGCCACACUGGGACUGAGAUACGGCCCAGACUCCUACGGGAGGCAGCAGUGGGGAAUAUUGCCCAAUGGGCGCAAGCCUGAUGCAGCAACGCCGCGUGUGGGAUGACGGCCUUCGGGUUGUAAACCACUUUCAGCGCCGACGAAGCGAAAGUGACGGUAGGCGCAGAAGAAGCACCGGCCAACUACGUGCCAGCCGCCGCCGUAA